rnacentral:rRNA from 1 species
UACGGUAGGGUGCGAGCGUUGUCCGGAUUUAUUGGGCGUAAAGGAGCUCGUAGGCGGUUUGUCGCGUCGGCCGUGAAAUCCCUCGGCUUAACCGGGGAACUGCGUCCGAUACUGGAGGGCUUGAGUGUGGGAGAGGGAUGCGGAAUUCCAGGUGUAGCGGUGAAAUGCGCAGAUAUCAGGAGGAACACCAAUUGCGAAGGCAGCUCGCUGGGACGUUACUGACGCUGAGACGCGAAAGCGUGGGGAGCAAACAGG